rnacentral:rRNA from 1 species
GUGGGGAAUUUUGGACAAUGGGCGCAAGCCUGAUCCAGCCAUGCCGCGUGUGUGAAGAAGGCCUUCGGGUUGUAAAGCACUUUCGGCCGGAACGAAAUCGCGCGGGUGAACAUCCCGCGUGGAUGACGGUACCGGAAGAAGAAGCACCGGCUAACUACGUGCCAGCAGCCGCGGUAAUACGUAGGGUGCGAGCGUUAAUCGGAAUUACUGGGCGUAAAGGGUGCGCAGGCGGCUCCGCAAGUCAGGCGUGAAAUCCCCGGGCUUAACCUGGGAAUGGCGCUUGAAACUACGGGGCUGGAGUAUGGCAGAGGGAGGUGGAAUUCCACGUGUAGCGGUGAAAUGCGUAGAGAUGUGGAGGAACACCGAUGGCGAAGGCAGCCUCCUGGGCCAAUACUGACGCUCAUGCACGAAAGCGUGGGGAGCAAACAGGAUUAGAUACCCCAGUAGUCC